GACGAACGCUGGCGGCGUGCUUAACACAUGCCAGUCGAACGGAAAGGCCCUGCUUUUGUGGGGUGCUCGAGUGGCGAACGGGUGAGUAACACGUGAGUAACCUGCCCUUGACUUUGGGAUAACUUCAGGAAACUGGGGCUAAUACCGGAUAGGAGCUCCUGCUGCAUGGUGGGGGUUGGAAAGUUUCGGCGGUUGGGGAUGGACUCGCGGCUUAUCAGCUUGUUGGUGGGGUAGUGGCUUACCAAGGCUUUGACGGGUAGCCGGCCUGGGAGGGUGACCGGCCACAUUGGGACUGAGAUACGGCCCAGCCUCCUACGGGAGGCAGCAGUGGGGAAUAUUGCACAAUGGGCGGAAGCCUGAUGCAGCAACGCCGCGUGCGGGAUGACGGCCUUCGGGUUGUAAACCGCUUUCGCCUGUGACGAAGCGUGAGUGACGGUAAUGGGUAAAGAAGCACCGGCUAACUACGUG
rnacentral:rRNA from 1 species